rnacentral:lncRNA from 7 species
AGAAGGGCAGGCAGUAGGCGUGAAGCUGUGAGCAGAGUAGAGAGCAACUUGGCAGAGCAGCAAGCAGAGUAGGCAAGUGUGAGGUUUGGCGUGAGUAGCAGCAAAAGCCCAGAGCAUCAAGAAGCAGGAAGUGAGGAGAAGGUAAGUGAAGGGCAGGCAAGGUAAUGGGAGGCAAAGGCAAGGGGAAAGGGGGGGUAAGGGAGAAAGAGGGAUGGGGAGGGGAGGGGAUGGGUGAAGAGCAGAGCGGAGGGAAGGGCUGAGGGGAGGGCUGAAGGCAAACCAUGAUGAAAAAAGAAAAGAAAAAAUAAGAACAAAAAAUAUGAAAAAAGAGAAAAAAAGAAAAAAAUAAGAAAAAGAGAAAAAAUGAAAAGAAAAAAAGAAAAAAAGAACAAAAAGAGAAAAGAGAAAAAAAUGAAAAAAAAGAGAAAAAAGAGAAAGAAAAAAAAAAUGAACAAAAAAGAGAAAAAGAGAAAAAAAUGAAAAAGAGAAAAAAGAGAAAAGAAAAAAAGAACAUGAAAAAAGAGAAAAAAGAGAAAAGAUAAAAAAGAAAAAAGAUAAAGAAAAGAGAAAAGAAAAAAGAAAUAGAAAUAAAAAAGAGACAGAAAAAUAUGAAAAAAAGAAAAAAGAAAAAAGAAAAGAAAAAAAAAUAGAUGAAAAAAGAAAAAACGAAAGGAAAAACGAUAAUGACAAGAGAAGAAAGGUAAAGAGAAAAGAAGAAAAAAGCCAAGUCAAAAAGUAAAGAAUAACUCGAAGGAAGGAGUGGAUGGCAAGAAAUACAGAGAAAGCAAUGCAUAGCACAGCAAAGCAAAGCAAGGCAAAAUAGCAGCCAAAGCCACGAGAAUCAAGAAGUCAGUGAAGAGCAGGAAAGGAAUGGAGGAAUCUGGCCAGAGCUGUGCCCCUGCUUGCCACAGGAGCUGCGCGGGAGGAGAAGAACGUGGGCCAAAAGGUAAGAGGAGCUCCUUUGGGUUCUGGGCUUGAAGCAAAGCUGAGAAGCCAUGCCCGGGAGGAGGUGUGGGUAGCUACAGGCCACCUUGCUAUCUCCCCAAGAGAUGAGGUGUGUGGGCUAGGCACCGGGCAGGAGUGCUGGCCAGAAGCAAGCAUCUCUGUGGAGGAAGGCAAAGGGCGGAGGAGGUUCAAGGGUAGCUACCGGGCAUGGCCUUGCUCAGCAAGGGGAGGAAAAGCCUGAAGGGCACGAGAAGGGGACAGAGAAGGGCAGGCAGUAGGCGUGAAG